UAAAAUGUGAUUAUAACAAUGGAAAAACCAACACAUGGCUACUCGAUGAUUCUGGUUACCCCUUGCAGCCAUACUUGAUGACGCCAUUCAGAAGCGCAGCCGAUGAAAUUCAACGAAUUUAAACACAAAGCACUCGAAAGCUCGUAAUGUAAUUGAGAGAUGUUUCGGUGUUUUGAAAAACCGAUUUCGAUGUAUAAUUGGCUCGAGAGGGCUACACUAUUCACCAGAAAAAGUUACACAAAUUGU